GACGAACGCUGGCGGCGUGCUUAACACAUGCAAGUCGAGCGGGAACCUGAGGAGGGGUAACCCUCUUCAGGGGAGAGCGGCGAACGGGUGAGUAUCACGUGGGCAACCUGCCCCGGACACCGGGAUAACCCAGGGAAACCUGAGCUAAUACCGGAUACUCCGGCGCGAUCGCAUGGUCGCGCCGGGAAAGCUCCGACGGUCCGGGAUGGGCCCGCGGCCUAUCAGCUUGUUGGUGGGGUAACGGCCCACCAAGGCGACGACGGGUAGCUGGUCUGAGAGGACGGCCAGCCACACUGGGACUGAGACACGGCCCAGACUCCUACGGGAGGCAGCAGUGGGGGAUCUUGCGCUAAUGCGCGAAAGCGUGACGCAGCGACGCCGCGUGGGGGAUGAAGGCCCUCGGGUUGUAAACCCCUUUCGGCAGGGACGAAGGGAAACUGACGGUACCUGCAGAAGAAGUCCCGGCUAACUACGUGC
rnacentral:rRNA from 1 species